rnacentral:rRNA from 1 species
UACGGAGGGGGCUAGCGUUGUUCGGAAUUACUGGGCGUAAAGCGCACGUAGGCGGCCUUGUAAGUCAGGGAUGAAAUCCCGGGGCUCAACCUCGGAACUGCCUUUGAUACUGCAAGUCUCGAGUCCGGAAGAGGUGAGUGGAAUUCCUAGUGUAGAGGUGAAAGUCGUAGAGAGUAGGAAGAACAACAGUGGCGAAGGCGGCUCACUGGUCCGGUACUGACGCUGAGGUGCGAAAGCGUGGGGAGCAAACAGG